UACAGAGGUGGCAAGCGUUGUUCGGAAUUACUGGGCGUAAAGGGCGCGUAGGCGGCCUUCUAAGUCAGACGUGAAAUCCCCCAGGCUUAACUUGGGAACUGCGUCUGAUACUGGAUGGCUUGAGUGCGGGAGAGGGAUGUGGAAUUCCAGGUGUAGCGGUGAAAUGCGUAGAUAUCUGGAGGAACACCGGUGGCGAAGGCGGCAUCCUGGACCGACACUGACGCUGAUGCGCGAAAGCCAGGGGAGCAAACGGG
rnacentral:rRNA from 1 species